rnacentral:rRNA from 1 species
UUUUCAGCAGCCGCGGUAAUACGUAGGACGCAAGCGUUAUCCGGAUUUAUUGGGUUUAAAGGGUGCGUAGGCGGACAAAUAAGUCAGCGGUGAAAUACUGUCGCUUAACGAUAGCAUUGCCGUUGAUACUGUGUGUCUUGAGUACAGUUGAGGUAGGCGGAAUGUGUAGUGUAGCGGUGAAAUGCUUAGAUAUUACACAGAACACCGAUUGCGAAGGCAGCUUACUAAGCUGAAACUGACGCUGAUGCACGAAAGCGUGGGGAUCAAACAGGAUUAGAAACCCGGGUAGUCC